rnacentral:miRNA from 1 species
GUGAACAACUUGUAACAAGCUUGUUGAUACUAUUAGAUUUGUUGCAAGGUUGUUCCAACAAAUCCGUCACAGUGAUGAUAUAACAAUAUUGUUACAACCUUGUGUGAUCAAACUUGUAACAUUCUUGUUAUAUCAUGACUGUAUCAGACUGUUAGAACAACCUUGUAACAAGUCCGAUAAUGCCAUCAAGCUUGUUACAAGUUGUUAAC